rnacentral:rRNA from 1 species
GAGAGUUUGAUCCUGGCUCAGGAUGAACGCUGGCGGCAUGCCUAAUACAUGCAAGUCGAACGGGGUGCUUGCACCCAGUGGCGAACGGGUGAGUAACACGUAUCUAAUCUACCUUUUAGUGGGGGAUAACAGUUGGAAACGACUGCUAAUACCGCAUACGACAUCAUUAUCGCAUGAGAAGAUGUUGAAAGGCCCGUUUGGGUCGCUAGAAGAUGAGGAUGCGGCGUAUUAGCUAGUAGGUGGGGUAAAGGCCCACCUAGGCGAUGAUACGUAGCCGAACUGAGAGGUUGAUCGGCCACAUUGGGACUGAGAUACGGCCCAGACUCCUACGGGAGGCAGCAGUAGGGAAUUUUUCACAAUGGGCGAAAGCCUGAUGAAGCAAUGCCGCGUGAGUGAUGACGGUCUUCGGAUUGUAAAGCUCUGUUGUAAGGGAAGAACAGCUAGAAGAGGAAAUGCUUUUAGUUUGACGGUACCUUACCAGAAAGCCACGGCUAA